rnacentral:rRNA from 1 species
UCCUACGGGGGGCAGCAGUGGGGAAUUUUACGCAAUGGGCGAAAGCCUGACGUAGCGACACCGCGUGAGCGAAGAAGCCUUUUGGGGUGUAAAGCUCUGUCAGCUGGAAAGAACACAAUGACGGUACCAGCAGAGGAAGCAUCGGCUAACUACGUGCCAGCAGCAGCGGUAAGACGUAGGAUGCAAGCGUUGUCCGGAUUUAUUGGGCGUAAAGAGUUCGUAGGCUGUUUGUUAAGUCUGGUGUUAAAGACUGAGGCCAAACCUCGGAAAUGCAUCGGAUACUGGCAGAUUUGAGUACGGUAGAGGCGAGUGGAAUUCCCAGUGUAGCGGUGAAAUGCGUAGAUAUUGGGAAGAACACCGGUGGCGUAGGCGACUCGCUGGGCCGCAACUGACGCUGAGGAACGAAAGCCAGGGGAGCGAAUGGGAUUAGAUACCCCAGUAGUC